UAUUAAAAAAUUUAUCCAAUUGCUUUGUUAAAAACUGGCGUGAUUGAAAAAUUAAUCGGAUAGUAACAUAUGACGUGCUACGUUUAUCUCAUGCUGAUGUACAAAUGCCCAUUUUUAACAGUAAAAAUAGAUGAAAUUUUUAACA
rfam:Gossypium hirsutum cultivar TM-1 chromosome 22, whole genome shotgun sequence